ACGGAGAGGGCAAGCGUUGUUCGGAUUUAUUGGGCGUAAAGCGCGCGUAGGUGGCAUGGUAAGUCGGAUGUUAAAGACCCACGGCUCACCCGGGGGAAUGCGUCCGAUACUGCCGUGCUAGAGUGCGGGAGAGGAAAGUGGAAUUCCUGGUGUAGCGGUGAAAUGCGUAGAUAUCUGGAAGAACACCAGUUGCGAAGGCGGUCUCUUGGUCCGAUACUGACGCUGAGGCGCGAAAGCGUGGGGAGCAAACAG
rnacentral:rRNA from 1 species